GACGAACGCUGGCGGCGUGCUUAACACAUGCAAGUCGAACGGAAAGGCCCUGCUUUUGUGGGGUGCUCGAGUGGCGAACGGGUGAGUAACACGUGAGUAACCUGCCCUUGACUUUGGGAUAACUUCAGGAAACUGGGGCUAAUACCGGAUAGGAGCUCCUGCUGCAUGGUGGGGGUUGGAAAGUUUCGGCGGUUGGGGAUGGACUCGCGGCUUAUCAGCUUGUUGGUGGGGUAGUGGCUUACCAAGGCUUUGACGGGUAGCCGGCCUGAGAGGGUGACCGGCCACAUUGGGACUGAGAUACGGCCCAGACUCCUACGGGAGGCAGAAGUGGGGAAUAUUGCACGAUGGGCGGAAGCCUGAUGCAGCAACGCCGCGUGCGGGAUGACGGCCUUCGGGUUGUAAACCGCUUUCGCCUGUGACGAAGCGUGAGUGACGGUAAUGGGUAAAGAAGCACCGGCUAACUACAUG
rnacentral:rRNA from 1 species